rnacentral:tRNA from 1 species
GAGGGUAUAGCUCAGUGGUAGAGUGCAUGCUUAGCAUGCAGGAGAGUCCUGGGUUCAAUCCUCGGUACCUCCA